UCAGGUGUGUCACAUCUCCAUGGAUACACAGUUGAUGAGAAUCCCAAGGUGGGAAAGAAGUUCUCCAUUGGUCUUAUUCCACCAGAGACGCGGAUGAGAUCAUUUUAUUUCUGUGCUGAAAAGGCGUUUGAUAAGGAGAGAUGGGUUGCGGCACUGAGGACUUCCAUAGGCAGAUGGGUGAAGGCAGACUGAAGAUGGCAAAAAAUAAGCUGAAAAAAGCAAAAAAAAAAAAAAAAAAAAA